UAAUCAUGGCUCAGGAUGAACGCUAGCUACAGGCUUAACACAUGCAAGUCGCGGGGCAGCAUGAAGGAUGCUUGCAUCCUUUGAUGGCGACCGGCGCACGGGUGAGUAACGCGUAUCCAACCUGCCUGUUACCACGGCACAGCCCGUCGAAAAGCGGAUUAAUGCCGUAUGUGGUCUUGAAAGGGCAUCUGAUCAUGACUAAAGGUUCAGCGGUAACGGAUGGGGAUGCG
rnacentral:rRNA from 1 species